GGAAAAAUGGGGGCGGCUUACACAUGCAAGUCGAGCGGGGAAGGUUGCUUCGGUAACUGACCUAGCGGCGGACGGGUGAGUAAUGCUUAGGAAUCUGCCUAUUAGUGGGGGACAACAUUCCGAAAGGGAUGCUAAUACCGCAUACGCCCUACGGGGGAAAGCAGGGGAUCUUCGGACCUUGCGCUAAUAGAUGAGCCUAAGUCGGAUUAGCUAGUUGGUGGGGUAAAGGCCUACCAAGGCGACGAUCUGUAGCGGGUCUGAGAGGAUGAUCCGCACACUGGGACUGAGACACGGCCCAGACUCCUACGGGAGGCAGCAGUGGGGAAUAUUGGACAAUGGGGGGAACCCUGAUCCAGCCAUGCCGCGUGUGUGAAGAAGGCCUUUUGGUUGUAAAGCACUUUAAGCGAGGAGGAGGCGCUCUAGGCUAAUACCCUAGAUGCGUGGACGUUACUCGCAGAAUAAGCACCGGCUAACUCUGUGCCAGCAGCCGCGGUAAUACAGAGGGUGCGAGCGUUAAUCGGAUUUACUGGGCGUAAAGCACGCGUAGGUGGCUAAUUAAGUCAAAUGUGAAAUCCCCGAGCUUAACUUGGGAAUUGCAUUCGAUACUGGUUAGCUAGAGUAUGGGAGAGGAUGGUAGAAUUCCAGGUGUAGCGGUGAAAUGCGUAGAGAUCUGGAGGAAUACCGAUGGCGAAGGCAGCCAUCUGGCCUAAUACUGACACUGAGGUGCGAAAGCAUGGGGAGCAAACAGGAUUAGAUACCCUGGUAGUCCAUGCCGUAAACGAUGUCUACUAGCCGUUGGGGGCCUUUGGAGGCUUUAGUGGGCGCAGCCUAACGCGGAUAAGUUGACCGGCCUGGGUGAGUACGGGCGGC
rnacentral:rRNA from 1 species